GAUUGAACGCUGGCGGCAGGCCUAACACAUGCAAGUCGAGCGGAUGAAAGGAGCUUGCUCCUGGAUUCAGCGGCGGACGGGUGAGUAAUGCCUAGGAAUCUGCCUGGUAGUGGGGGACAACGUUUCGAAAGGAACGCUAAUACCGCAUACGUCCUACGGGAGAAAGCAGGGGACCUUCGGGCCUUGCGCUAUCAGAUGAGCCUAGGUCGGAUUAGCUAGUUGGUGAGGUAAUGGCUCACCAAGGCGACGAUCCGUAACUGGUCUGAGAGGAUGAUCAGUCACACUGGAACUGAGACACGGUCCAGACUCCUACGGGAGGCAGCAGUGGGGAAUAUUGGACAAUGGGCGAAAGCCUGAUCCAGCCAUGCCGCGUGUGUGAAGAAGGUCUUCGGAUUGUAAAGCACUUUAAGUUGGGAGGAAGGGUUGUAGAUUAAUACUNUGCAAUUUUGACGUUACCGACAGAAUAAGCACCGGCUAACUYUGUGCCAGCAGCCGCGGUAAUACAGAGGGUGCAAGCGUUAAUCGGAAUUACUGGGCGUAAAGCGCGCGUAGGUGGUUUGUUAAGUUGGAUGUGAAAUCCCCGGGCUCAACCUGGGAACUGCAUCCAAAACUGGCAAGCUAGAGUAUGGUAGAGGGUGGUGGAAUUUCCUGUGUAGCGGUGAAAUGCGUAGAUAUAGGAAGGAACACCAGUGGCGAAGGCGACCACCUGGACUGAUACUG
rnacentral:rRNA from 1 species